CGACGACAAAGGCGCAGUUCACCGCAUUAGGAUAACCGUGGAGGAAUAGAACACGAAACCGUUAUAUCAGACGAAUUAUUUGACACUUGUGACUUUCAAUCAAAUUGUAAUAGUUUUUCUGUAGAUUUACAUCCCAGCUCCUUUGUUCUAACAGGGGUGAUCUGAGCCGGAUCGCCCCUACCAGAUCACCCCAGUUUGAGUUUCUUUGUUAUGCAUGCUUUCCUUUGUUCUGUAACAUUUUGGCGGGAAUGUCAAAUCCACUAUAAAACUUAUAAUUAAUUAUACGGAAAAGACUAUCUAUCAAAAUUCACGUAGAAAAAAUCCGGUGUAUAUGCUGGGAUUCGAACUCAAGACCUUUAGCAUAUCACGCCACGACACAUACCACUACACCAGGACGACUGGAUACGAAUUAAUAGUAAUUUGACAUACUUAAAGGAAGCAAGAUCAUUUUAUAAGUAGGGCGAGUUGUCAAACCUUUAUGCAGUGGGGUUUAAAGCUUUUUCGUUAAUAACAUGAAUAAGUGAGUUUUCAGACAGAUUGUUCAAUUUGAUUUUACACUUUUUCAAAAGUGGGACGAGUCGAUAAACAAGAGUGGGGCGAUUUUUUUAUAAAGUGACGAUAUAGUGUGGGCCGAUUGGCAAGUGGGGCGAGUUGACAUUAUUUGAUAUCUACUCAUCGUGUUUGAGGGUCAUUAAGGGUAUACAUCAUAUAGUAAUAUAUAAAGUAUAUUAUAAUGGUUGUGUGGCAUUCUAAACUAGAUUUUAUGAAUUGUAAAUGGUUUUCCGUCUAAUCUAAAACAGCUGGGAUGUAAAAUAGUUAUCCCAUUCGGACUUGGUGUGUCAGUGUUAGAUCACCCUCUGGCCUCCGGCCAUCGGGGUGAUCUUACACUGACACACCGCGUCCUUAUGGGAUAACUAUUAAAAACCCUCUAGCAAUUGUAUUAAACUAUUAUCCUUAAAUGUUUGUGGUAUAAAAAAUCGAUUACUAUACCCUGAAUUUAAAUCACUGCUGAACAC
rnacentral:lncRNA from 1 species